rnacentral:rRNA from 1 species
UAAUACGUAGGGUGCGAGCGUUGUCCGGAAUUAUUGGGCGUAAAGGGCUCGUAGGCGGUUUGUUGCGUCUGCUGUGAAAGCCCGGGGCUUAACCCCGGGUCUGCAGUGGAUACGGGCAGGCUAGAGUCCGGCAGGGGAGACUGGAAUUCCUGGUGUAGCGGUGGAAUGCGCAGAUAUCAGGAGGAACACCGGUGGCGAAGGCGGGUCUCUGGGCCGGUACUGACGCUGAGGAGCGAAAGCGUGGGGAGCGAACAGGAUUAGAUACCCUGGUAGUCCACGCCGUAAACGUUGGGCGCUAGGUGUGGGUUUCCCUUCCACGGGAUCCGUGCCGUAGCUAACGCAUUAAGCGCCCCGCCUGGGGAGUACGGCCGCAAGGCUA